UGGGGAAUCUUGCACAAUGGGGGAAACCCUGAUGCAGCGACGCCGCGUGAACGAUGAAGCCCUUCGGGGUGUAAAGUUCUUUCGACAGGAACGAUAAUGACGGUACCUGGAGAAGAAGCUGCGGCUAACUACGUGCCAGCAGCCGCGGUAAUACGUAGGCAGCGAGCGUUGUUCGGAGUUACCGGGCGUAAAGAGUGCGUAGGCGGCGAGCCAAGUUUGGUGUGAAAUCUCCCGGCUUAACCGGGAGGGUGCGCCGAAAACUGGUUGGCUGGAGUAUAGGAGAGGAAAGCGGAAUUCCUGGUGUAGCGGUGAAAUGCGUAGAUAUCAGGAGGAACACCUGCGGUGUAGACAGCUUUCUGGACCAAAACUGACGCUGAGGCACGAAAGCGUGGGUAGCAAACA
rnacentral:rRNA from 1 species